GACGAACGCUGGCGGCGUGCUUAACACAUGCAAGUCGUGCGGUAAGGCCCUUUCGGGGGUACACGAGCGGCGAACGGGUGAGUAACACGUGCGCAACCUGCCCUUCACUUUGGGAUAACUGCCGGAAACGGCGGCUAAUACCGGAUAUGACUUCCUCACGCAUGUGGGGUGGUGGAAAGCCUUCGGGUGGUGGGGGAUGGGCUCGCGGUCUAUCAGCUUGUUGGUGGGGUGAUGGCCUACCAAGGCUUCGACGGGUAGCCGGCCUGAGAGGGUGACCGGCCACACUGGGACUGAGACACGGCCCAGAAUCCUACGGGAGGCAGCAGUGGGGAAUAUGGGACAAUGGGCGAAAGCCUGAUCCAGAAACGCCGCGUGAGGGAUGACGGCCUUCGGGUUGUAAACCUCUUUCGCCUGCGACGAAGCGAGAGUGACGGUAGCAGGUAAAGAAGCACCGGCCAACUACGUG
rnacentral:rRNA from 1 species